GUGUAGCGGUGAAAUGCGCAGAGAUAUGGAGGAACACCAGUGGCGAAGGCGACUUUCUUGUCUGUAACAGACGCUGAUGUGCGAAAGCGUGGGGAUCAAACAGGAUUAGAUACCCUGGUAGUACACGCCGUAAACGAUGAGUGCUAAGUGUUAGGGGGUGUCCUCCCCUUAGUGCUGCAGCUAACGCAUUAAGCACUCCUCCUGGGGAGUACGACCGCAAGGUUGAAACUCAAAGGAAUUGACGGGGACCCGCACCACCGGUGGAGCAUGUGGUUUAAUUAGAAGCAACGCGAAGAACCUUACCAAAUCUUGACAUCCUUUUAAAACUCUAGAGAUAGAGCCUUUCCCUUUGGGGGACAAAGUGACAGGUGGUGCAUGGUUGUUGUCAGCUCGUGUCGUGAGAUGUUGGGUUAAGUCCCGCAACGAGCGCAACCCUUAAGUUUAGUUGCCAUCCUUAAGUUGGGCCCUUUAGGUUGACUGCCGGUGACAAACCGGAGGAAGGUGGGGAAGACGUCAAAUCAUCAUGCCCCUUAUGAUCUGGGCUACACACGUGGUACAAUGGACAAUACAAAGGGCAGCUAAACCGCGAGGUCAUGCAAAUCCCAUAAAGUUGUUUUCAGUUCGGAUUGUAGUUUGCAACUUGACUACAUGAAGCCGGAAUCGCUAGUAAUCGUAGAUCAGCCUGGUACGGUGAAUACGUUCCCGGGUCUUGUA
rnacentral:rRNA from 1 species